UACGGAGGAGGCAAGCGUUAUCCGGAAUCACUGGGCGUAAAGCGCGUGUAGGCGGUUCGGCAAGUCGGCUGUGAAAGCCCGAGGCUCAACCUCGGAACUGCAGCCGAAACUGCCGGGCUCGAGUCCCGGAGAGGGUGGCGGAAUUUCCGGUGUAGAGGUGAAAUUCGUAGAUAUCGGAAGGAACACCAGAGGCGAAGGCGGCCACCUGGACGGUGACUGACGCUGAGACGCGAAAGCGUGGGGAGCAAACAGG
rnacentral:rRNA from 1 species